rnacentral:rRNA from 1 species
CCUACGGGUGGCAGCAGUGGGGAAUAUUGCACAAUGGGGGAAACCCUGAUGCAGCGACGCCGCGUGAGUGAAGAAGUAAUUCGUUAUGUAAAGCUCUAUCAGCAGGGAAGAAAAUGACGGUACCUGAGUAAGAAGCCCCGGCUAACUACGUGCCAGCAGCCGCGGUAAUACGUAGGGGGCAAGCGUUAUCCGGAUUUACUGGGUGUAAAGGGAGCGUAGACGGAAUUGCAAGUCUGGAGUGAAAGGCGUGGGCUCAACCCCAGGACUGCUCUUAAAACUGUACGGCUGGAGUGCUGGCGAGGUAAGCGGAAUUCCUGGUGUAGCGGUGAAAUGCGUAGAUAUUAGAAGGAACACCGGUGGCGAAGGCGGCUUACUGAACAAUAACUGACGUUGAGGCUCGAAAGCGUGGGGAGCAAACAGGAUUAGAUACCCCAGUAGUC